rnacentral:snRNA from 1 species
GUGCUUGAUUGGCAGCACAUAUACUAAAAUUGGAACGAUACAGAGAAGAUGAGCAUGGCCCCAGCACAAGGAUGACCUGAAAAUUUGUGAAACAUUCCAUGUGUUU